AACCAUAGAAACCUGCGGAGUACCUGCGGAGGGAUCAUUACCAGUACCACCGUCGCCUCCGGGCGUCGGUCUACUACCAACCCUUUGUCAUCCGACCUCGUUGCCUCCGGGUGCGACCCUGACCUUCGGGUCUCGCGUCUCCCCGGGUGGACACACAUCAAAACUCUGCAUAACCUUGUAGUCUGAGUAAAACUUUUAAUUAAAUUAAAACUUUUAACAACGGAUCUCAGAUCGGAAGAG
rnacentral:misc_RNA from 1 species